AUGAACGCUGGCGGCGUGCCUAAUACAUGCAAGUCGAGCGAACGGACGAGAAGCUUGCUUCUCUGAUGUUAGCGGCGGACGGGUGAGUAACACGUGGAUAACCUACCUAUAAGACUGGGAUAACUUCGGGAAACCGUAGCUAAUACCGGAUAAUAUUUUGAACCGCAUGGUUCAAAAGUGAAAGACGGUCUUGCUGUCACUUAUAGAUGGAUCCGCGCUUCAUUAGCUAGUUGGUAAGGUAACGGCUUACCAAGGCAACGAUGCAUAGCCGACCUGAGAGGGUGAUCGGCCACACUGGAACUGAGACACGGUCCAGACUCCUACGGGAGGCAGCAGUAGGGAAUCUUCCGCAAUGGGCGAAAGCCUGACGGAGCAACGCCGCGUGAGUGAUGAAGGUCUUCGGAUCGUAAAACUCUGUUAUUAGGGAAGAACAUAUGUGUAAGUAACUGUGCACAUCUUGACGGUACCUAAUCAGAAAGCCACGGCUAACUACGUG
rnacentral:rRNA from 1 species